GCAUGGAUCUGCUUUUGUCUCUA
rnacentral:piRNA from 1 species